GAAUUACUCCUUCAUUUCAAAUUAAUUGACUCAAAUUUGUGUAAUUCACAUUUAUCUACACAAUAAAAUGCAUCCAGAUACAUACAUAUCUAGACAACUUUGGGACAAAUAAUUUGGAACGGAGAAAGCAGAAA
rnacentral:miRNA from 1 species